AGAGUUUGAUCCUGGCUCAGACGAACGCUGGCGGCAGGCCUAACACAUGCAAGUCGAGCGGAUGAGUGGAGCUUGCUCCAUGAUUCAGCGGCGGACGGGUGAGUAAUGCCUAGGAAUCUGCCUGGUAGUGGGGGACAACGUUUCGAAAGGAACGCUAAUACCGCAUACGUCCUACGGGAGAAAGCAGGGGACCUUCGGGCCUUGCGCUAUCAGAUGAGCCUAGGUCGGAUUAGCUAGUUGGUGAGGUAAAGGCUCACCAAGGCGACGAUCCGUAACUGGUCUGAGAGGAUGAUCAGUCACACUGGAACUGAGACACGGUCCAGACUCCUACGGGAGGCAGCAGUGGGGAAUAUUGGACAAUGGGCGAAAGCCUGAUCCAGCCAUGCCGCGUGAGUGAUGAAGGCCUUAGGGUUGUAAAGCACUUU
rnacentral:rRNA from 1 species